rnacentral:rRNA from 1 species
GCUCGUGCGAAGCUCCUUCGACGAGUCGAGUUGUUUGGGAAUGCAGCUCCAAAUGGGUGGUAAAUUUCAUCUAAAGCUAAAUAUUGGCCAGAGACCGAUAGCGCACAAGUAGAGUGAUCGAAAGAUGAAAAGCACUUUGGAAAGAGAGUCAAACAGUACGUGAAAUUGUUGAAAGGGAAGCGCUUGCGACCAGACUUGCCCGCGGGCGAUCAGCCGGCACUCGUUGCCGGUGCACUCGCCCGCGGGCAGGCCAGCAUCGGUUCGGGCGGCUGGACAAAGUCCCCCGGAAUGUGACUCCCCUCGGGGAGUGUUAUAGCCGGGGGUGCCAUGCAGCCCGCCCGGAUCGAGGACCGCGCUUCGGCUAGGAUGCUGGCGUAAUGGCCGCAAGCGACCCGUCUUGAAACACGGACCAAGGAGUCUAACAUCCAUGCGAGUGUUUGGGUGUCAAACCCAUGCGCGGAAUGAAAGUGAACGGAGGUGGGAACCCGUCCGGGCGCACCAUCGACCGAUCCUGAUGUCUUCGGAUGGAUUUGAGUAAGAGCAUGGCUGUUGGGACCCGAAAGAUGGUGAACUAUGCCUGAAUAGGGUGAAGCCAGAGGAAACUCUGGUGGAGGCUCGCAGCGGUUCUGACGUGCAAAUCGAUCGUCAAAUUUGGGUAUA